AGCGGCUAAGGGAGAAGACCAAAAUCAUUACUGGCCACCUCAGUGUUUUUACCUCUUCCUUUCGAGGGAUAACCAACAAAGCGGUGCUAACCGGGCGACACUUCAAAGGCCAGUGCUUAUCUAGGGCCGCCAGUUACCUUCAGUGAAGAUUUACCCUCACCACAGAGAAGUCUGGCCCUGGCCUUUGGCUCCAGGGAAGGGAUCUCUAGGCCCUUGGAAUAUCCUGACAGGAGUGCUUCGUUUUCCUGGGGUCUUAGACCACUGACAUCCUAACAAUAUGAUUUAUGAUGGAGGCUUCGGGCCAGGCCAUAGCAGUUUCAACCUCCGGAUCCUCACAGAACUGGAGACUAGAGGAAUUAGCCUGAUUUCUGGAGGGGCUAGAAAUUAAAGUUCAGCCAUGUGGGCAAUGUGUGAUUGGGCGUCAGUAAAAACACUGGACACCAAAGGAUCAAGUGAGGCUCCCUGGCUGGCAAUACUGUGUAUAUUGUCACACACUGUGGCUGAGAGCAGGAAAUGCUGACCAUGAGUCUGGAAGCCCCAUGUUUGGACACUUCCUGUGCUUCAUAUGACCCAAGAAUUCCACUCCUUGGUGUAUACCCAAGAAAAAUUAAUGUUCAUAGCAUAAUUCAUAAAAGUCAAAACAGUGGAAAAACCCAAUGUCCAUCAAUAGAUGAGUAAGUAAAUAAAAUAUGGCAUAUCCCUA